rnacentral:lncRNA from 1 species
GACAUCUUAAAAAAAUGGGGGGAAGGGACAAAAUGGAUUAAAAAAUGGAAUGUUCCAAUGGAGAAUCAUAAUCUAUAAAAAGAAUUGUAUGAACAUUCUAGAAUUGCAGAGUAUAAUACUGAACUUAAGAAUUCACUGGAUGAGUGUAAUGGCAGAAUAGAUGCAGCAGCAAGCAGGAUGAAUGAACUUGAAAACAAAUCAAUAGAAAACAGCACACUGGGCAGGGUGCAGUGGUUCAUGCCUGUAAUCCCAGCACUUUGGGAGACCAAGGCAGACAGAUCACAAGGUCAGGAGUUUCAGACCAGCCUGGCCAACACAGCAAAACCCUGUCUCUACUAAAAAGACAAAAAUAUAGCCAGGCGUGGUGGCAGGCGCCUGUAAUUCCAGCUACUAGCUACUCGGGAGGCUGAGGAUUGGGCAAGUCUUAAUGAGUAUGAACCAACGAAAUUGAGGAGAGAUUUGCUUAGAGCUUCUGGGAAACAGAAGUCAAUGUCUGUGUUUCUCCCUCCUUCUCCUGCUACCCCUAUCACUUGGGGAAGAGUGAAGCAUGUUGCUCUGUUACAACUGGCAGCUGUCUUAGAACCAUGAAGGGAAACAGCCUUGCAAGGAAGUUCUCGGCCAAACAGUGAGAUCUCAGCAGAGGAGUGAGAUAGAAAGAAUCCUGAGUGCCUGAAGAUGGGCUCGCACUGAUUCAUCAAUCUUGAAGCUCACAUCAUUGUCUCUGAAUGACUACUUAAAAU